rnacentral:misc_RNA from 1 species
CACCGAGCUUACAUCAGGUGAAGGUAAAGUAUUUUCUUCACUGAAAACUGGCAGAGGUGCAUAAUUAAUGAAUGAAUGCAAUGUUAACAUCUGUGAAUGCAAAAACCUUGGAGAACACUUGUACUGAAUCUAGAUGAACUCUGCUUUGCAUGCAGGACUCUUAGGGUAAUGUCAUGUGGUCAUCACCCUUAGUAAGAAGUUGAUUUUCAUCCUGAUUAUGUAUACCUGUAAACAACAAAUCUAACUUGUUUGAUUGUUGCAUUAUUGUCAAAUCUUCAUGUUGGAAUAUGGCUUGUAGGAACAAGCCCCACAUCGGCAGAAUAUAAGAAAACUAAACGGCAUAUAAAUUCAAGGCAAACCAAACCAAAAUGGCUUAAGCUAUUUUGAUGUGGAGAGCCUAGUUUAGCCAAUAGCCAGCCAGUUUUGGUAUUCACUCUUUAGGUCCAUAAAUCUUAACA